rnacentral:rRNA from 1 species
GACGGAAGGUGCAAGCGUUGCUCGGAAUCACUGGGCGUAAAGAGUGUGUAGGCGGUGCUCUAAGUUCGGUGUGAAAUCUCCUGGCUCAACUGGGAGGGUGCGCCGGAAACUGGAGUGCUUGAGCGUGGGAGAGGAAAGCGGAAUUCCUGGUGUAGCGGUGAAAUGCGUAGAUAUCAGGAGGAACACCUGUGGUGUAGACGGCUUUCUGGACCAUAGCUGACGCUGAGACACGAAAGCGUGGGUAGCAAACAGG